UCGGGAGGCAGCAGUGGGGAAUAUUGGACAAUGGGGGCAACCCCGAUCCAGCAAUGCCGCGUGUGUGAAGAAGGUCUUCGGAUUGUAAAGCACUUUUGGCAGGGACGAUGAUGACGGUACCUGCAGAAUAAGCCCCGACUAACUUCGUGCCAGCAGCCGCGGUAAUACGAAGGGGGCUAGCGUUGCUCGGAAUGACUGGGCGUAAAGGGCGCGUAGGCGGUUCGUACAGUCAGAUGUGAAAUUCCUGGGCUCAACCUGGGGACUGCAUUUGAUACGUGCGGACUUGAGUGAGGAAGAGGGUUGUGGAAUUUCCAGUGUAGAGGUGAAAUUCGUAGAUAUUGGAAAGAACACCGGUGGCGAAGGCGGCAACCUGGUCCUUUAC
rnacentral:rRNA from 1 species